rnacentral:lncRNA from 1 species
CAGCAUAGCAGAUGCGUAAUGGGCAGUUUGUCCAUGAUAGAUGAUCAAAGACAUUGAAGAGCUUGAAAAGCUCGACAUGAUCAUGCAUAAGAAAUUACUAAUGAAUUAGAUCCUAUAAUUUUUAAUUCAUACAAAUAGUUUAUAAAAUUAUUAUAUGAAUAAAUAUCAUAGCACCUUAACUGAAUUGAUCGAUAUGCUGGUAACUAAGAGAUCUUAAAAAGUUCAGAGGUACAUACCUGAAGAACCUAAAAAAAUAUUGACAUGCUUUUGGAAAGUAUGUCGAAUUGUUCAAAAUUGAACUUACGAUUUUCUCUUUUUAUUAGACUUUAGUAUAUAUUAUGUACUUUAAUAUAAGGUCUA